rnacentral:lncRNA from 1 species
ACUAGCUUAGGGUUGAAGAUGGAGUCUGAACGAAGGUACUUAAUAGGGGAGAUAUGCUCUAAUGAGCUUAUUCAGGGCCAUAGACAUUAGGCCUAAAUAAAGGUGUUGCCACUGAUUUGCACGAGUGUGCGAGGCUAGAUAACUUAUUUGCACGGAGCUCUCUUAAAUAGAGGCUCAAAUUUGUUUGUCUGCAUGAGGCUAAAUAACUUGGUUUUGUACCCAAGCCUUUUUGUUGAGCGCACAUUCUUGCUCGCAACUUGUUGUUGCACUGAAUCAGAGAUUAGAGGGGAAAUUCAAUUUCUU